rnacentral:rRNA from 1 species
AGUGAACGCUGGCGGCAGGCCUAACACAUGCAAGUCGAACGGCAGCACAAGAGAUCUUGCUCUCUGGGUGGCGAGUGGCGGACGGGUGAGGAAUGCAUCGGAAUCUGCCCAUUUGUGGGGGAUAACCUCGGGAAACCGGGACUAAUACCGCAUACGACCUACGGGUGAAAGCAGGGGAUCUUCGGACCUUGCGCAGAUGGAUGAGCCGAUGCCGGAUUAGCUAGUUGGAGGGGUAAAGGCCCACCAAGGCGACGAUCCGUAGCUGGUCUGAGAGGAUGAUCAGCCACACUGGGACUGAGACACGGCCCAGACUCCUACGGGAGGCAGCAGUGGGGAAUAUUGGACAAUGGGCGCAAGCCUGAUCCAGCCAUGCCGCGUGUGUGAAGAAGGCCUUCGGGUUGUAAAGCACUUUUGUUGGGAAAGAAAAGCAGCCGGUUAAUACCCGGUUGUCAUGACGGUACCCAAAGAAUAAGCACCGGCUAACUUCGUG